rnacentral:rRNA from 1 species
GGGUCAGUAGGUUGGUCGUGCCACCGGUACGUACUGUUCUCACUGAUUCCUCCUUCCUGAAGAACCGUAAUGCCAUUAAUUUGGUGUUGCGGGGAAACAGGACUGUUACUUUGAAAAAAUUAGAGUGUUUAAAGCAAGCUAACGCUUGAAUACAUUAGCAUGGAAUAAUGAAAUAGGACGAUCGAUCAUAUUUUGUUGGUUUCUAGGAUUGACGUA